UAUCAUUGUACUCUUAUCUUCAAAACACCAGUUUAUACUCCUGAAUGUCAUCUUGUUGUGAUUUUUUUUUUCUGUAGAUUCCAGAGACUCUGUGAGGCCACUAUUACAAGGUGAGACGCUUUGCGUUGAUUGGUGCUGCUGGACCACACUGGAGGUGCGAGUCCGCCGUGUAAUGGUUUAUGCCAUUACAAAGGAGCUGGCGUCUGUACUCAACUGGGCAGGGGAAAAAAUACCAAGGACCAGACAAAGCAAAAAAGGGCAUUUAAAGAGACAGCGCUGUGCAGAUGCAUAUUUGAUGGCCUGGCGCAGCAGGUAGGGGCGAACUCUAUGUCUGAGUUGGUCUUUGCUCAAGCAGUCCAGAAAUGGCUCAGAUAUGCUCCAGAUCGUACGGGUGGCGCGCAGGAAGCACAUCAUCCAUCCCCAUCCCGGAGUAAAUAAUAAAAAGUGACGUGAAACAUAGAAAUGUAAAUAGGAAACUUUGUCUUUUAAUAAAGUAUUUUGCAAAUGA